rnacentral:rRNA from 1 species
GGUUAAGCGACUAAGCGUACACGGUGGAUGCCCUGGCAGUCAGAGGCGAUGAAGGACGUGCUAAUCUGCGAUAAGCGCCGGUAAGGUGAUAUGAACCGUUAUAACCGGCGAUUUCCGAAUGGGGAAACCCAGUGUGACUCGUCACACUAUCAUUAACUGAAUCCAUAGGUUAAUGAGGCGAACCGGGGGAACUGAAACAUCUAAGUACCCCGAGGAAAAGAAAUCAACCGAGAUUCCCCCAGUAGCGGCGAGCGAACGGGGAGGAGCCCAGAGCCUGAAUCAGCAUGUGUGUUAGUGGAAGCGUCUGGAAAGGCGCGCGAUACAGGGUGACAGCCCCGUACACAAAAGCGCAUGUGCUGUGAGCUCGAUGAGUAGGGCGGGACACGUGGUAUCCUGUCUGAAUAUGGGGGGACCAUCCUCCAAGGCUAAAUACUCCUGACUGACCGAUAGUGAACCAGUACCGUGAGGGAAAGGCGAAAAGAACCCCGGCGAGGGGAGUGAAAAAGAACCUGAAACCGUGUACGUACAAGCAGUGGGAGCCCCACCACUAAGCCAGUGGUGAACUCCACAUACGCAUCCUUUGCUGAGGAUACGGUUAACGGAGCGAAAGCGACGUUCAACCGCAAAAGAAGCAGAGGGGGCUUAGUGGUGGGGUGACUGCGUACCUUUUGUAUAAUGGGUCAGCGACUUAUAUUCUGUAGCAAGGUUAACCGAAUAGGGGAGCCGGAGGGAAACCGAGUCUUAACCGGGCGUUAAGUUGCAGGGUAUAGACCCGAAACCCGGUGAUCUAGCCAUGGGCAGGUUGAAGGUUGGGUAACACUAACUGGAGGACCGAACCGACUAAUGUUGAAAAAUUAGCGGAUGACCUGUGGCUGGGGGUGAAAGGCCAAUCAAACCGGGAGAUAGCUGGUUCUCCCCGAAAGCUAUUUAGGUAGCGCCUCGUGAAUUCAUCUCCGGGGGUAGAGCACUGUUUCGGCUAGGGGGCCAUCCCGGCUUACCAACCCGAUGCAAACUGCGAAUACCGGAGAAUGUUAUCACGGGAGACACACGGCGGGUGCUAACGUCCGUCGUGAAGAGGGAAACAACCCAGACCGCCAGCUAAGGUCCCAAAGUCAUGGUUAAGUGGGAAACGAUGUGGGAAGGCCCAGACAGCCAGGAUGUUGGCUUAGAAGCAGCCAUCAUUUAAAGAAAGCGUAAUAGCUCACUGGUCGAGUCGGCCUGCGCGGAAGAUGUAACGGGGCUAAACCAUGCACCGAAGCUGCGGCAGCGACGCUGAUGCGUUGUUGGGUAGGGGAGCGUUCUGUAAGCCUGUGAAGGUGGCCUGUGAGGGUUGCUGGAGGUAUCAGAAGUGCGAAUGCUGACAUAAGUAACGAUAAAGCGGGUGAAAAGCCCGCUCGCCGGAAGACCAAGGGUUCCUGUCCAACGUUAAUCGGGGCAGGGUGAGUCGACCCCUAAGGCGAGGCCGAAAGGCGUAGUCGAUGGGAAACGGGUUAAUAUUCCCGUACUUGGUGUUACUGCGAAGGGGGGACGGAGAAGGCUAUGUUGGCCGGGCGACGGUUGUCCCGGUUUAAGCGUGUAGGUGUGUGUUCCAGGUAAAUCCGGUUCACUUUAACACUGAGGCGUGACGACGAGGCACUACGGUGCUGAAGCAACAAAUGCCCUGCUUCCAGGAAAAGCCUCUAAGCAUCAGGUAACAUCAAAUCGUACCCCAAACCGACACAGGUGGUCAGGUAGAGAAUACCAAGGCGCUUGAGAGAACUCGGGUGAAGGAACUAGGCAAAAUGGUGCCGUAACUUCGGGAGAAGGCACGCUGACACGUAGGUGAAGUGAUUUACUCACGGAGCUGAAGUCAGUCGAAGAUACCAGCUGGCUGCAACUGUUUAUUAAAAACACAGCACUGUGCAAACACGAAAGUGGACGUAUACGGUGUGACGCCUGCCCGGUGCCGGAAGGUUAAUUGAUGGGGUCAGCGCAAGCGAAGCUCCUGAUCGAAGCCCCGGUAAACGGCGGCCGUAACUAUAACGGUCCUAAGGUAGCGAAAUUCCUUGUCGGGUAAGUUCCGACCUGCACGAAUGGCGUAAUGAUGGCCAGGCUGUCUCCACCCGAGACUCAGUGAAAUUGAACUCGCUGUGAAGAUGCAGUGUACCCGCGGCAAGACGGAAAGACCCCGUGAACCUUUACUAUAGCUUGACACUGAACAUUGAGCCUUGAUGUGUAGGAUAGGUGGGAGGCUUUGAAGUGUGGACGCCAGUCUGCAUGGAGCCGACCUUGAAAUACCACCCUUUAAUGUUUGAUGUUCUAACGUGGACCCGUGAUCCGGGUUGCGGACAGUGUCUGGUGGGUAGUUUGACUGGGGCGGUCUCCUCCUAAAGAGUAACGGAGGAGCACGAAGGUUGGCUAAUCCUGGUCGGACAUCAGGAGGUUAGUGCAAUGGCAUAAGCCAGCUUGACUGCGAGCGUGACGGCGCGAGCAGGUGCGAAAGCAGGUCAUAGUGAUCCGGUGGUUCUGAAUGGAAGGGCCAUCGCUCAACGGAUAAAAGGUACUCCGGGGAUAACAGGCUGAUACCGCCCAAGAGUUCAUAUCGACGGCGGUGUUUGGCACCUCGAUGUCGGCUCAUCACAUCCUGGGGCUGAAGUAGGUCCCAAGGGUAUGGCUGUUCGCCAUUUAAAGUGGUACGCGAGCUGGGUUUAGAACGUCGUGAGACAGUUCGGUCCCUAUCUGCCGUGGGCGCUGGAGAACUGAGGGGGGCUGCUCCUAGUACGAGAGGACCGGAGUGGACGCAUCACUGGUGUUCGGGUUGUCAUGCCAAUGGCACUGCCCGGUAGCUAAAUGCGGAAGAGAUAAGUGCUGAAAGCAUCUAAGCACGAAACUUGCCCCGAGAUGAGUUCUCCCUGAGACUUUAGGUCUCCUGAAGGAACGUUGAAGACGACGACGUUGAUAGGCCGGGUGUGUAAGCGCAGCGAUGCGUUGAGCUAACCGGUACUAAUGAACCGUGAGGCUUAACCUU